rnacentral:rRNA from 1 species
AUUGAACGCUGGCGGCAGGCCUAACACAUGCAAGUCGAGCGGAUGAAGGGAGCUUGCUCCUGGAUUCAGCGGCGGACGGGUGAGUAAUGCCUAGGAAUCUGCCUGGUAGUGGGGGAUAACGUCCGGAAACGGGCGCUAAUACCGCAUACGUCCUGAGGGAGAAAGUGGGGGAUCUUCGGACCUCACGCUAUCAGAUGAGCCUAGGUCGGAUUAGCUAGUUGGUGGGGUAAAGGCCUACCAAGGCGACGAUCCGUAACUGGUCGGAGAGGAUGAUCAGUCACACUGGAACUGAGACACGGUCCAGACUCCGACGGGAGGCAGCAGUGGGGAAUAUUGGACAAUGGGCGAAAGCCUGAUCCAGCCAUGCCGCGUGUGUGAAGAAGGUCUUCGGAUUGUAAAGCACUUAAGUUGGGAGGAAGGGCAGUAAGUUAAUACCUUGCUGUUUUGACGUUACCAACAGAAUAAGCACCGGCUAACUUCGUG